CCUACGGGUGGCAGCAGUGAGGAAUAUUGGUCAAUGGGCUUACGCCUGAACCAGCCAAGUCGCGUGAGGGAAGACUGCCCUAUGGGUUGUAAACCUCUUUUGUCAGGGAGCAACGCCGGCUACGUGUGGCCGGCCUGAGAGUACCGGAAGAAAAAGCAUCGGCUAACUCCGGGCCAGCAUCCGCGGUAAUACGGAGGAUGCGAGCGUUAUCCGGAUUGAUUGGGUUUAAAGGGUGCGUAGGCGGACUGCAAAGUCAGCGGUAAAAUCGCGGGGCUCAACCCCGCUCCGCCGUUGAAACUGGCGGUCUUGAGUGGUCGAGAGGUAUGCGGAAUGCGUGGUGUAGCGGUGAAAUGCAUAGAUAUUACGCAGAACUCCGAUUGCGAAGGCAGCAUACCGGCGCCCAACUGACGCUGAAGCACGAAAGCGUGGGUAUCGAACAGGAUUAGAUACCCGGGUAGUC
rnacentral:rRNA from 1 species